AAUAUAUGUAUGAGUGUGUGUGUGUGUGAAAUGUAUCCACAAUGUAUAUCCACAAUAACUUCCCCCUUUUAACAUCAUCAAAGGGGAAGAAAGUAUAAGUGCCAAAAGUGAAUACAAAAGAUAAGCCAAUCAAAAGCAUAAAAGUAAUAAAGUCACUGAUGAGUUGGAGGAGGGAACAUGUGAGACAAAUGCUGGAGAAGUGUGUGCAUCUACAUCAUUUGCUCCUCCAUCCUAAUAUGUUGAUCCCCCAUUCGAAUAUGACGAUCCUCCAUUUGAACACCUCUCAACUCGAUGCGGUCCAU
rnacentral:misc_RNA from 1 species